rnacentral:tRNA from 1 species
AUCUGGGUGGCUCAGUUGGUUGAGCAUCUGACUUCAGCUCAGGUCAUGAUCUCAUGUUCGUGGGUUUGAGCUCCACAUCGGACU